rnacentral:rRNA from 1 species
GACGAACGCUGGCGGCGUGCUUAACACAUGCAAGUCGAACGGUAAGGCCCUUUCGGGGGUACACGAGUGGCGAACGGGUGAGUAACACGUGGGUGAUCUGCCCUGCACUUUGGGAUAAGCCUGGGAAACUGGGUCUAAUACCGGAUAGGACUACGCGAUGCAUGUCGUGUGGUGGAAAGCUUUUGCGGUGUGGGAUGGGCCCGCGGCCUAUCAGCUUGUUGGUGGGGUGAUGGCCUACCAAGGCGACGACGGGUAGCCGGCCUGAGAGGGUGUCCGGCCACACUGGGACUGAGAUACGGCCCAGACUCCUACGGGAGGCAGCAGUGGGAAAUAUUGCACAAUGGGCGCAAGCCUGAUGCAGCGACGCCGCGUGGGGGAUGACGGCCUUCGGGUUGUAAACCCCUUUCAGCACAGACGAAGCGUAAGUGACGGUAUGUGCAGAAGAAGCACCGGCCAACUACGUG